UACGGAGGGCGCGAGCGUUGUCCGGAAUCACUGGGCGUAAAGGGCGCGUAGGCGGCCCUGAUAAGGCUCGCGUGAAAGCCCGGGGCUCAACCCCGGGUCGGCGCGGGCGACUGUCGGGCUGGAGCACGGUAGGGGCAGGCGGAAUUCCGGGUGUAGCGGUGGAAUGCGUAGAGAUCCGGAAGAACACCGGUGGCGAAGGCGGCCUGCUGGGCCGGCGAGUGGUCAAACACUCAAGCUGACGCUGAGGCGCGACAGCGUGGGGAGCAAACAGG
rnacentral:rRNA from 1 species